UGAGGUGGUGGAGGGGCGCGGCUGCGUUGUGUGGAGUUACGUUACCUGGGGACGGUGCAGCGCUGUGCGAAACUGAGCGGCCUGCAGCUGUCCGGGCUGUGAGGAGUGCGCGGGGCAGCCGACGUGGGACGGCCGUGCGCGGGGAGUGCGGGAUGGGCGCCGCCCUCAGCUGCGCCGUGUCCGUGUGCGGAGUGUCCGCCUCAGAUGCUCAGCACCAUCACAGAGCCCCAGAGAGCCCCCAGGGGAGGCCACGCACAGCACAGCUUCACAGGGACGCCUAAAGGAAGCCAGGAUGGCACAGACACGGGGCGCCCUUUGGCCGAGUCUGAUCGUCCCUAAGAGCAGCAGCUGUAAGCACACAGACCACAAGA
ensembl:lncRNA